AAUGAACGUUGGCGGCGUGGAUUAGGCAUGCAAGUCGAGCGAUGAAGUUCCAGCUUGCUGGAGCGGAUUAGCGGCGAAAGGGAGAGUAACGCGUAGGUAUGUACCCCCGGGUCUGGGAUAGCGGCGGGAAACUGCCGGUAAUACCGGAUAAUGUCCCCGGACCAAAGGUGUGAUUCCGCCUGGGGAGCGGCCUGCGUCCUAUUAUGGUUGUUGGUGGGGUAAUGGCCUACCAAGCCUAAGAUGGGUACCGGGUGUGAGAGCAUGGCCCGGCUCACUGGGACUGAGACACUGCCCAGACACCUACGGGUGGCUGCAGUCGAGAAUCUUCCGCAAUGGGCGCAAGCCUGACGGAGCGACGCCGCGUGCGGGAUGAAGGCCUUCGGGUUGUAAACCGCUGUCAGAGAGGCGGAAAUGCAUAGGGGCUAAUCUCCUAUGUUUGACCUAAUCUCAGAGGAAGCGC
rnacentral:rRNA from 1 species